AGUGCGCACUCCUCCCAGUGCACUGGCCGGUUGGAGUUUUGCCAGGGAGGCCUUCCCACCUGCCUGUCUCAAUGGAAAGAAUAUGUGGAUUUGGAUUCAGGGACACCUUUAUCACCUAUGUGACUUUAGCUGCUGCUCAGGGGGAAGUCACAAUAUGUAAGCCAGACUGCUGGCUUCACACAUCCUCCAUUAAGAUUCUCAGUGGUGAAGGCUAAUAUAUCUGACCACACUGGCUCUGCAAGACCAUGGCUGAAGACUGCUUAAAUGUUGUCCCUGAGUCAAUAUCUUAACAUUUAUUGCAUCUUUUAUUUUCUUAACAAAAAUGAAGGCAUUUGUGACUGUGUUGUUUUCCAUCAAAAAUUGGGAAUCAUGCCCUUUCAUACAACACAGUUGUGGUAAGUAGAAGCUUCUGGGGUAGUAGAAAGAUCAAGAUCAUCAGAGAACGUAGGGUGCAAUAUCAGCUCUCCAGUACCAAACACGGUUCAUUAACCUCUCGGAACCUCAGGUGUCUUGGGGCAUAGUUCAUGUCUCCUGGCCCAUCUCACAGGAUUAUCAGGAGGACGAAUGAGAUAAUUCUCAGGCUAAAGAAAAUAUCACCUAAUGCUUCUGAUAUACAGAAUUGUGUGCUGCAAAUGGUUGAAAAGAUUUUAGUUUCAACACCUAAUUCCCAUCAUUCUGUGGCAAAAUAUAUCUUGAGUUCUGAUGGGCGCCAGAACAACAUCUGAAGAUUGAAUGAAACUUCUAAAGGUGAGUGAUAACAAGGCCCGUCCUGUACUUCACAGAAGACUUCUGAGGGUCAAAGAGAAGAUUUAUAGUUCUGGAGGUCAGAAGUCCAAGCUGAGUUUCACUGGCCCAAAUUCAAGAGUACCAGGCCAGAUUUCCAAAUGGGACAACAGGUGGAACUCUCAUUUUGCUCAUGUUCAGGCUGGAGUGCAGUGACACGAUCAUGGCUCGCUGCAGCCUUGACCUCCUGGGCUCAAGCUAUCCUCCCAUGUCAGCCUUCUGAUUAGCUGGGACUAUAGGCAUGCACCAUCACACUCAGGCUGGAGUGCAAUGGCUCAAUCACAGCUCACUGUUACCUCAAAUUCCUGAUCUCAAGGGAUCCUCCUGCCUCAGCCUCCUAAGUGACUGGAACUACAGGUGCAUACCAUUAUCCCAGC
rnacentral:lncRNA from 1 species